UAGCUACAAAGUAGCUCCUUUUCUUCUUCUCCAUCUGCAGGUUAGCUUGUACUUUUUUACUUCCUUACUUACAUACAUGUUGCUUUUGCAAUAUAUUGGACUGAUUGCUUGUUCAGUUGGUAGACAAAGAUCAUGCUUGACAUGCAUGGUGUCCGUCUCCUUUAUAAUGCCAAAGAUCAUGGCAUCAGUAUAAGCUAAAUAUUAUGUUUACAUUUGUUAUCUUUUUGUUGCUCAGUUAUUGAUGCUUGUUGGUAACUAUGACAGUUCUCAAGGGAGCAAUUAAAGGUUAUUAGUAACGUGAUCAAGAUAUGCCUGGUACGGUCCCGACUUCGUGGCCGAACCUGAUUGGCUUUCGUGUGCAAGAUGCAAUUACAAUUAUCCACAGGGAGCGGCCAGAUUUAAGAGGAGCUCGCGUGCUCCCUCCAAACGUGGCCCCGACGCCACCCGCACCAGGAGAAGUCCGUGUUGUCAUCUACAACGACAGCCAGCACAUUGUUAUCCCCCCAGCGCCAUACAUUGGCUAGCCAACUGGCAUUAUAUUUUUUUUUCUUAUACUACAUAAAAGCCUCGCAUCUUUUAUGAAUAAUGCGACAGAGUGUGAUAUCGAUCGCCAUGAAUGCUAUCUAGUGUGUCCAGAGUUGCUUGUAUGGUCGAGUCAUACUUGUGCGUGUGUGUGAGCUUGUGUGAUGAAUCUGCAUAUGCUUCAAUGGUUGUACUACCCAAUAUAUUAAAUAAACAAUACUGUAUUGCCCCGUU
rnacentral:lncRNA from 1 species